rnacentral:lncRNA from 1 species
AAUUAUGAAUAAAGCUGCUAGACACAUCAACGUGCAGGUUUUGGUUUGGAUGUGUUUUCAGUUUAUCUGGGUAAAUACCAAGGAGAGCAAUUGCUGAAUUGUAUGCUAAGUACAUUUAGUUUUGUAAGAAACUGCUAAAUUGCCCUCCAAAUUACCUCUACAAUUUUGUAUUCCACCAGCAAUGAAUGACACUUCCUGUUGCCUCAUAUCCUCACCAGUAUUUGGCACUGUAAGUGUUUGGAUUUUGGCCAUCCUAAUAGUUGUGUAUUGGUAUCUCAUUGUUUUUAUAAUUAGCAUUUACCUGAUGACAUAUGAUGUGGAAUGUCUUUUCAUAUGUUCAUAUGCCAUCUGUAUAUCUUCUUAGGUGAGGAUAUAUCUGUUAAGAUCGCUGGCCUGUUUUUAAAUUGUCGUGUUUGUUUUCUUAUUGUUGAUUUUAAGAGCUCUUAGUAUAUUUUGGUUAACAAUACUUUCAUCAGAUAUGUCUUUUGUAAGCAUUUUCUCCCAGUUUGUGGCCUCAGCCUCUUGACAGCAUGUUUUGCAGAUCAGAAAUGUUUAAUUGUAAUGAAGUACAGCUUAUUAAUUCUUUUUUUAAAAAAAACACUUGCUUUUUAUGUUUUUUAGUAAUACGUAGUAUUUUUACGUAUUUUGGGGUACAUGUAAUGUUUUGUUACAUGCAUAGAAUGUGUAAUUAUCAAGUUAGGGUAUUUAGGGUAUCCAUCGCCUCUAGUAUUUGUCAUUUCUAUGCGUUGGAAACAUUUCAAGUCCUCUUUUCUAGCUUUUUUGACAUAUAUAAUAUAUAGUUGUUAACUAUAGUCACCCUAUAAUGCUAUUGAACAUUAGAACUUAUUCCUUCUAUCUCACUGUAUGUUUGUACCCAUUAAGUAACCUCUCUUCAUCACCCCUCAUACACCCACCUUUUUUCAUGGAUUAUUGCGUUUAGUAGUGUAUCUAUGUCAUCAUCAAACCAGGGUCAUCCAGAUUUUAUCUUAUGUUAUCUUCUAGGAGAUAUACUUUAUAUUUAAGACUGUGAUCUAUUUUUAGUUAAUUUUUGAAAGGUAUAAGGUAUGUAUCUAGAUUAAUUUUUUUGCAUGUGGAUGUCCAGUUAUUCCAGCAUAAUUUAUUGGAAAGACUGUCCUUUCUCCAUUAUAUUGCCUUUGCUCCUUUGUCAAAGAUCAGUUGACCAUAUUUAUAUGGAUCUAUUUCUGGGCUCUCUGUUCUGUUGCAUUGCUCUCUAUCUGUUGUCCUUCCUUUCACUGCUACCAUACUGUCUUUGAUUCCUAUAGCUUUACAGUUAGUCUUGAAGUCACAAAAGCAUGGGAUCCCCCAUUAGUGGAUCGUCCUGGAAUUUUUAACUCUCAGAUUUGUACACACCUAGCCUUCAGCAAUUUGUGAAUUACAGUUCAGAUUUUCCUACCCUAGCACUGGUUCCCAAAGAGGUUUCUGUUAAAGUAUGUUGUGAUUCUCUCCAUCUACGACUUUCUCUUCCUAUUUUUGGGACAGAGGUUUGUCUUGUGACCUCACUUCUCUUACAGAUCUAAGAAUAAUGGUUGAUUUUUCAGUUUGUUCAACUUUUUACUUGUUAGGAUAGAGUGGUGACUUCCAAGCUUCAUGCAGAACCGGACAACAGAAAUUGAGAGGGAAAUUUCUAUGACAGAAGAGAGAAAGAAGAAAAUUGCUGGAAUAAUGACCUUGAAUAGAGGAAAUGGGAUAUCAUCUGGUUCUGGAGACAGCCUGUAUUUCUUGGAUCUUGGCUUCCUUCCAUCUUCAAAGCCAACGAUGACCAGUGUAGACUUUCUAUGCUGCUUCAAUCUGACAUGGAGUCCCUGCCUUCCACAUCUAAAGUACCCUUGCAAUUACAUUGGCCAAGAUAACCCAGAAUAAUCUUAAAUUAAACUCAGC